CAUUACUGAGUUUACGCUCUACAACCCUUUGUGAACAUACCUAUAACUGUUGCUUCGGCGGGUAGGGUCUCCGUGACCCUCCCGGCCUCCCGCCCCCGGGCGGGUCGGCGCCCGCCGGAGGAUAACCAAACUCUGAUUUAACGACGUUUCUUCUGAGUGGUACAAGCAAAUAAUCAAAACUUUUAACAACGGAUCUCUUGGUUCUGGCAUCGAUGAAGAACGCAGCGAAAUGCGAUAAGUAAUGUGAAUUGCAGAAUUCAGUGAAUCAUCGAAUCUUUGAACGCACAUUGCGCCCGCCAGCAUUCUGGCGGGCAUGCCUGUUCGAGCGUCAUUUCAACCCUCAAGCUCUGCUUGGUGUUGGGGCCCUACAGCUGAUGUAGGCCCUCAAAGGUAGUGGCGGACCCUCCCGGAGCCUCCUUUGCGUAGUAACUUUACGUCUCGCACUGGGAUCCGGAGGGACUCUUGCCGUAAAACCCCCAAUUUUCCAAAGGUUGACCUCGGAUCAGGUAGGAAUACCCGC
rnacentral:rRNA from 1 species